UCUACUACACAGAAGCUGGACAAAGAUCUCAA
rnacentral:sRNA from 1 species